rnacentral:tmRNA from 1 species
GGGGGCGAUGUGGCUUCGACAGGGAUAAAGAAGCCAAAACUGCAUACCAAGGGAUGUCUGGAUACCUUGUAAAUCCAUCCAGUCAUAAACUAAGCGCCAACUUAAAUCCAUUGGCAUUAGCUCCUAGCCUGAGCUAAGAGCUACGCUUCUCUGUUUUUUACUCUGCGAAACAGAGAAAGUGGAAGACAGCAGAGUUAGCCUUGUUCUUAAGCAAGGGGGGAGCAAGGUGAACCUAACCCUUGCUAAUCUUCCUUCUAUCCCGUCUACAGGAGAGAGGAAGAUGAAACCCAAAAUGUAGACUAAGUAUGUAGACGUUUUGGUGUCCUUAUCCCUGGACGAGGGUUCGAUUCCCUCCGCCUCCACCA